rnacentral:rRNA from 1 species
UCGAGAAUCUUCGGCAAUGGGCGCAAGCCUGACCGAGCGACGCCGCGUGGAGGAUGAAGGCCUUCGGGUUGUAAACUCCUGUCGAGGGGGAAGAAGGGCCGCAAGGCUUUGACUGAUCCCUGGAGGAAGCACGGGCUAAGUUCGUGCCAGCAGCCGCGGUAAGACGAACCGUGCGAACGUUAUUCGGAAUCACUGGGCUUAAAGCGCGUGUAGGCGGGACGGCACGUCGGUCGCUGAAAUCCCCCGGCUCAACCGGGGAACGGGCGCCGAUACGACCGUCCUGGAGGGACGUAGGGGGACCUGGAACUUCCGGUGGAGCGGUGAAAUGCGUUGAGAUCGGAAGGAACGCCCGUGGCGAAAGCGAGGUCCUGGACGUUUUCUGACGCUGAGACGCGAAAGCCAGGGGAGCGAACG